rnacentral:ncRNA from 1 species
ACCAUUGUAUCGCUGUCAGGUAAGAAUCUUUUCAAAUGAUUCUGCUGGGAAGGGGGUGAGAAUCCCCCGCAGCCCCCGCUGCUGUGAUGCCGACAAAUCCGUAUCCCCGAUGGAUUGCAAAAAUGAAGGGGAGAGCCACUGAUCGUAAGAUUGGGAAGGCGCGGAGGAGGAUGACGCUAAGCCAGAAGACCGACCUGACAAGCUAUACCCGU